UGUUUUGUUGAUUUUUAAAAAUUGUUUUUCUCAUCUCUAUUUCAUUUAUUUCUGUUCUACAUUUUAUUAUUCCUUUUACUAACUUUGGGCUUUGUUCUUAUUUUUCUAUUUCUUUGGGGUAUAACUUUAGGUUGUUUAUGUGAGAUCUUUUCUUCUAUUAAUGUGAUCAUUUGUUGCUAUAAACUUCCCUUCAAUAACUGCUUUUGCUGCAUCCCAUACAUCCCAUUUUGUUUGUUUUUUUUUUUCCAGUUUUGUUUGUUUCAAGGUAUUUUUGUCUCUGCUUUUAAUUUCUUCUUUGACCCAUUGGUUUUUCAGGAGUGUGUUGCUUAAUAUCUAUAUAUUGUGAGUUUUCCAAUUUUUCUCCUAUUAUUGAUUUCUAGUUUCAUUUCAUUGUGAUUGGAAAAGAUAUUUCACAUGAUUUCAAUCUCCAUAAAUUUGUCAAGAUUUAUUUUGUUGCUUAACAUGUGAUCUAUUCUGGAGAAUGUUCCAUGUGGCUUUCAGAAUGUGUAUUUUGCUUCUGUUGGAUAGAAUGUUAUGUAUAUGUUCAUUAUAUCUGUUUUGUAUCUAGUGUUUAACUCCACUGUUUCCUUAUUUAUUUUCUGUCUGGAUGAUCCAUCCAUUGUUGGGUGGGGUAUGGAUUUCUUCUACUAUGUAUUACUAUUUUAUGUCUUCCUGAUGAAUUGAUCCUUUUGUUAGUAUAUAUAAUGACUUUCUUUGUCUCUUAUGACAGUUUUUGACUUGAAGUCUAUUUUAUCUCAUAUAAAUAUAGCCACCUUUGCUCUCUUUUGGUUAUUUUUAUGGGAUGUGGUUUUCAUCCAUUCAUUUUCAGGCUAUUUGUGUUCCUUUCUUCCUCUCUUGCUGUAUUCCUUUGUGGCUUCUUUAUUAUUAUUAUUUGUGGUAGUAUGCUUUGAUUCUUUUCUUUUUGUCUUUUUUGUAUCUACUACAGGAUUUUGUGUGAGUGAUUACCAUGAGGCUUAUAUAAAACAUCUUGCAGUUAUAAUAGUAUAUUUUAAGCUGAUAACAAUUUUUAUUACAUACAAAGACUAUACACUUUCACUUCUCCCCCAUAUUCUAUAUUAUUUAUAACACAAUUUACAUCUUUUUAUAUUGUGUAUCCAACUAUAUACCAUCAUCACAGUAUUACAGAAUUCUGAGUUUGACUAUAUACUUACAUUUAUCAGUGAGUAUAUGUUUUCAUGUUGCUAAUACAUGUUCCUUUCAUUUCAACUUGAAGAUCUCCCUUUCACAUUUCUUGUUAGGCAAGUCCAGGGGUGAUGAACUUCCUCAGUUUUGGUUUGUCUGGGAAGGUCUUUCUCUUUCUUUCCUUUUUGAAGGAUGGCUUUGCUGGGUAUGUUUUUGAUUGGCAGUUUUUUUUUUUCUUUCAGCACUUUGAGCAUAUCAUUCCACUUUCUCUUGGUCUGCAGGGUUUUUGGCAAGAAACCCAUUGAUAGUCUUAUGGAGUUUCCUUUGUAUGUGUUGAGUUGUUUUUAUUUUGCUGCUUUAAAAAUUCUCUGGUAAAAAUAAUUUGAGGAGGUUAAAAAAUAAAAUAAAACAAAAAUUUAAAAAAUCUCUCUUUGUCUUUGAUUUUUGACUAUUUGAUUAUAAUGUGUUUUGGUGAAGACCUUUUUAUUCUCAAUGUAUAUGUAGUUCUUUGGGUUUAAUGGAUCUGGGUGUUUUUUUUUCUCUUUACAGAUUUGGAAGGUUUUCUGUUAUUUUAUUUUUUGUAGUUUUUACAGUUUUAUUUAAACAGAACGUGCACAUGAGCUGUCUACUCAUUUUCUUCACUGCACAGCUUGGCAUUGGGGUUAGUGACUCUGAUGGCCAGGAGGCAGCUCUUUCCAUGAUGGCUUUGUGGUUCUUGGAGGAAAUAUUGUAAGCAAUCUCAGCACAGUAAGAUUUGUUGCACAUCAGCAGCACUUCCAGGUCCUUCAUGUUGUGGACCAGGAACUUCUGGAAGCCACUGGGCUGCAUAUGCUUUGUUUUUUUGUUGCUCCCAUAACCAGUGUUGGGCAUCAAGAUCUGGCCCUUGAACCUUCCGCGAACCCUGUUGUCAAUAUCUCUGGGUUUCUGCCAGUUACGCUUAAUUUUGACAUAUCAGUCUGACUGGUGCCAGAUGAACUUCUUUGUUCUCUUUUUGUGAUCUUGGACUUUACAAGGGGUCUGAGGGUGGCCAUGAUGCCAACGAGGAGAUGGCUGCCACCUUGGCAAUGCCAAGGAAGAGAGCCAUUAUAUUUUAAAAUAAGCUUUCUUUCCCUUUCUCUUUCUCUGGUCCUUUUGGGAUUUCUGUAAUAUGUAUAUUAUUUUACUUGAUGUUUUCAUAAGUCCAGCAGAGUUGAGCCAGCUGCUAAGACCCAUGCCUCUUGUUAAUGUUCAUGUUCUCUCUGCAGCAGUUAAUAUGGGCCAUGCACAAUGGUAUUGGGCCCCAUACAUGUAUUGGGCCCCAUAUAUGGUGGGGUAGGUCAUGUAGGGUACAUAGACUUGUUGGGUGGGGUUCCUCAGGUGAGUCAUCUGAUGAGAUUUGUGGGCAAAUCUCCUGCUGGGGCCUGUGAGCUAGUUGGCAGAAUCUGUGGUUGGUUGUUGAAACCACAUGCCAGUUUCUGUGCACUCCACUCCCUUCUCCCUGUUCCUAGGUGAUCAGUCAUUUGUAUUCUGGGCAGGGAGAGACAUAAGUGAGCCUCUUGGUCAGUGUUCUUCAAGUCUGGGGAAGCUAGGUGUUUACUAUACUUUCACCUUCCCCUGUAGGAGAAAUGGAAGGCCAAAAAAGCUUCCCUCAGCACAAGCUGUGCCUCUGUGGGGAAGGGAUAAUGCAGGUAAAGUGGAACUGCACGUGUUACCCUUUUCAGUGCUUCCACUCUUGGGUUGAUUUGCUCCAGUGGCAUGCUGGAACCUCAGCCAGACUCCAGGCCUCCCACGUAGUGAUUCUCAUCUGUCAUUGCCUGCCUUAACUGGUGUUUCUAUAGGGGGAUGGGAGCUGGAACAUCCUACCCUGCCGUGCUACUGAUUUCACUCCUGACUGAAUUUUGAAGAAUGAACAGAACUCACUAGAUGUAUAAGGAGAAAAGAGCAUCCUAAGCAGAGGGAACUCCAGUUACAAAGGCAGAGAAAUUUAAUCUAUCAAGGUGUUUGUGAUGGACAGAUUUUAGACAUGGAUUCAUCAACGAGCAGUUGCAGUACUGUACGUGAGAGAAGUCAGGAGUGAUAGUGGAGCUAAGAGACAGAGACAUCAGGAAAGGGAUUCUUUCUGUUGCAAGUAAUGAAAAGUCAACUAAAAAUGGCUUAUGAGAAAGAAAAGGAAGAUAUUGAUUCAUAAAAAUGGAAAAUCCAUGGUCACAAGGCCUUCAGGACAUUGACAUUUUGGAGGGCCUAGGCUAGCUGUUUUGUACAAUGUCUUUCAAUUUGGAUUUGCCUGAUUGUUUCCUCAUGAUUAGAUUCAGCUUAAACAUUUUUUGGCAAGACUACGCCAUAGGUGAUGUGUGGCCAGUCACUUCAGGUGCUACUCUUAGACAACUGCUGGCCAGCUGCCUGUGCGUACUACCAUCCCAUCCCCACCUUCCAUCAUUUCCAUCACCUGAAGUCUUCCAGAUGGAGUCUAAUUCUAUGGCCUAGGUUGGAGUGUAAAUGGUGUGAUCAGGGCUCACUGCAAACUUCACCUCCUGGCUUCAAGUGAUUCUCGUGCCUCAGCCUCCCAAGUAGCUGGGAUUACAGGUGAGUGUCACCAUGCCUGGCUGAUUUUUGUAU